AAUCAACGCUGGCGGCGUGCCUAACACAUGCAAGUCGAACGCGAAAGCCUCGCAAGGGGCAAGUAGAGUGGCGCACGGGUGAGUAACACGUGGAUAACCUGCCUUCGAGUGGGGAAUAACCUUCCGAAAGGAGGGCUAAUACCGCAUAAUACCUUUAGUCAAAAGACUUAAGGUUGAAAGAGCAAUUUGCUCGAAGAGGGGUCCGCGCCUGAUUAGCUAGUUGGUGAGGUAACGGCUCACCAAGGCUUCGAUCAGUAGCCGUCCUGAGAGGGAGCACGGCCACACUGGAACUGAGACACGGUCCAGACUCCUACGGGAGGCAGCAGUGGGGAAUAUUGGACAAUGGGCGCAAGCCUGAUCCAGCAAUGCCGCGUGUGUGAAGAAGGCCUGCGGGUUGUAAAGC
rnacentral:rRNA from 1 species